UUUUUAUUUAUUUAUUUUUUUUACAGCCUCUACUUUGCAACCAUUAACGACAAAGAUAGCGCGUCGCCUUUCGCUUCCUCCUAGCCUCCCCCAGUCACCCUUGAAUAGACUCCUGCACUUAGGCAGCGUCCACUUCCUGUUGACCUAAAAAAAAAAAAAAAAAGACAACUCGUCUUCCAUCCAUUGGGUCGGGUUCGGUCUGAGUCCUGGUCCAGGUUGAGAAAGUGGAUCAAGCAAGCGGUGCGACUGUUGGGAGUGGACGCCCUCAGUGUGAGUAAAUAGACCUGUUGCCGUGGCGACCUGCCGACCGGGACCCAUCGCAGUCAUGCGCCGCUGUUGCCACUCAACUCAAGUUCUGCUACUUGAAUAUGUGCCUGAACCAGAACCGGGUAACAUGCUGGCCGGAAUGGCAUCCACUUUGGAGGAACACCAGACCGCUCACUGCUCAGCUGGACUCCACCAG